rnacentral:misc_RNA from 1 species
UUUCCGUAGGUGAACCUGCGGAAGGAUCAUUAAUGUGUUUGGGCCUCACGGCUCUUCAUUCCGACGCUGUGCGCCUUCGGGCUGCACGCUGAGGGAGCAUACAUCCACCCCUAUGCACACACACGGUGGCGAGCUGGGUAACGGCUCGCCGCUGAUCUUUACACACGUCUAAAAGUCAUUGUAUGUUUAUUUGAGAUAAAAACACAACUUUCAGCAACGGAUCUCUUGGCUCUC